CACACCCCCUUCAACUGUGGACAGGUAGAUUAUUUACUUUGUGGGUUGAUGUGACACAAUUUUUAAUCCCAUGUUGGCUACGCUCUGCCACUUCCCCCCACCGUUAAUGGGUGUGUGCUCAGGCAGUGUAAACUCAGGAAGGUAACGCAAAACCGGGACAGUAAAUCAAUCUGCUUCUUACACCUCUCACCUCACAUCGGCCUCCUCCUCUCUUUUUACUUCAUCGUCUCCAGCUUUAAAAAACCAGAGGUGUGGUGGCUCAUGCCUGCAAUGCCAGAACUUUGCAAGGCCAAAGCAGGAGGAUCACUUGAGCCAGGAGUUCAAGACCAUCCUGAGCAAUAUGGUAAGACCCCAUCUCUACAAAAAAAUACAAAGAAUUAGCUGGGUGUGGUGGUGCAUGCCUGUAGUCCCAGCUACUAAGGAGGCUGAGGUGGGAGAAUCACUUGAGCCCAGCAGACUGAAGUUGCAGUGAGCUGAGACUGAUACCACUGCACUCUGGCCUUGGUGACAGAGCCAGACCCUGCCUUAAAAUAAACACAUACAUAAACAAAUAAGUAAAGUAAUGCUUGCCUUCAUC
rnacentral:lncRNA from 1 species